rnacentral:rRNA from 1 species
CGUAGGUGGCAAGCGUUGUCCGGAUUUAUGGGUUUAAAGGGUGCGUAGGCGGCCCUGUAAGUCAGUGGUGAAAUAUCUCAGCUUAACUGAGAGGGUGCCAUUGAUACUGCGGGGCUUGAGUACAGAUGAGGUAGGCGGAAUUGACGGUGUAGCGGUGAAAUGCAUAGAUAUCGUCAAGAACUCCGAUAGCGAAGGCAGCUUACUAAGCUGUAACUGACGCUGAGGCACGAAAGUGUGGGGAUCAAACAGGAUUAGAUACCCUGGUAGUCCACACUGUAAACGUUGAUGACUCGAUGUUGGCGAUACACAGCCAGCGUCCAAGAGCAAUCGUUAAGUCAUCCACCUGGGGAGUACGCCGGCAACGGUG